GGAGACUACGUUUAUCUGUCAAUGGGAGUCCAUAAGCAAUGAAUCUUUCUUGCUGCUAGAAGUCAGAGAAGUCUUAGCUGCUAGAAGAGACUGGACUCAAGCACUUCUUGCAGUAGCUUGUGAGGCUCUCGGGAAGUCUCAUUGGAACUGUUAUUUCCGCCUCAUUGUCCACCUCUGGCAUGGUACCUGAGCCAGGACCCUCUGUACAGCAGCAAACACAGAUACAUAUUUGUAUCUAAGCCUAUCCUUUCAAGCUCCUCUCACAAGAUUGAUCAUUUCUUGGCAUCCCAGGAGAAGGGGGUCACUGGGGCAAGGAGGAGGAGCCCAAAUCACGAGAUUAUACAAUGCAUAAACACUUUAAGAGUCAGGGAAAAAAAUGCCCCUUUGAUGUUGGGAGCGGGUUUCUGCAUUGCAGUCUCAAGAAUGAUUGCCCAAAGUCCAUGCUAA
rnacentral:lncRNA from 1 species